CAGCCCCGGCCGCCCACUCGCCUCAUCUGAGCCUGGACCCAGUAUUAAUUUGCCAAGAGAUUGGCAUACUAUUUGUAUAUAUGCUUUUCUUUCAAAUAAUCUGGAUUCCCAAUGCCCACAAUCAUUGAUCCUAAAGAAAAUGUGAGAGUAGGUAGAUAAACUCAAACAUCCCUACCAUCACCCCUGGUAGGAAAUCACUGGUGUAAUGUAUGAUAUUAACAUCUGCACCAAUUACUCUUAUAGGUGGAACAAUCCAAAGUUUUAAUCAGAGAAGGUGGUGUUCAGUUGCUGCUUACAAUAGUUGAUACCCCAGUAUUUGGAGAUGCAGUGGAUAACAGUAAUUGUGUCAGAUGCCUGGUAACAGGGUGCAGUGUUGUUUAUACUUCAUUGCUCCUUCAGGACAUGGAGACAGAUCUCAUUAUGUUGCCCAGGGUGAUCCUUGAUCUCCUGGCCU
rnacentral:lncRNA from 10 species